rnacentral:tRNA from 1 species
GAGGCUGUGAGGUAAUUUGGUUAUCCUUCCAGGUUUGGGACCUGGUUAUCACGGUUCAAAUCCGUGCAGCCUCA